rnacentral:rRNA from 1 species
GGUUUAUAGGCUGGUUAGGUGCUUAUUUCUGGGUUUAUUUUACCUUUUGCAUCAUGAUUCCUUGAGAGAUUCCUUGUAUAAGGGGUUCCGAAGUGCAGAGAUUUCCUUUUGGUUAGCUUAGUGCUGUAGUUUUGGGCGGGUAGCCUUUGUUAAAGUCAUUGGGGGAGGUGAAACAUAAAUCGUUCUGCUCGAUAUCUGAUUUUUGCUAGGGUUUUCUUGGGAUCCUUGUUGUUUGGAAAUGAUGGGGAGGGUAAGAGUCUUGCUGUGUUAUUGAUGGAUUUAGGUUAGAGGUACCUUUUUGUUGUACUAUGUGUUAAGACUGGGUAACUUAGCCUGUUGAGAGAUACUUUGUUGGGGCUAGCAGAGGUUUAAUUUUGUGUCGUGAGUAUGAGGGAAUAAGUAGUUUUAUUAGCUCUCUCUUUUCUCGGGUGCCUCCGGUCUGUUUAUUAAAAACAUUUCCAUUAGUAAGGAUUAAUGGUAGUACCUGCCCGAUGUAAUAAUGAAUGGCCGCAGUAUCUUGACUGUGCUAAGGUAGCAUAAUUAGUUGCCUCGUAAUUUGGGGAUUGUUUGAAUGGUUUGACUUGGGGGUUUAUCUAGGUGGGGGCUUUGUUGCGAAAUUGGUUGAUCAGUGCAGAAUCUGAUCCUUUUUGAUUAGACGGAAAGACCCCGAGAGCUUGCAGUAGGAUGUUUUAUCUGGGGAGGAGGCAAAUGUUUCAUUUGUUUUUAGACCCUUUUGGGUAAAAGAUUGAAGUUACCUCGGGGAUAACUAGGUAAGAAGCAAGGAGAGGCCUUAUUGAUUUGCUUGGUUGCCAUCUCGAUGUUGACUUAGGAUGUAGCGGAAGGGUGUAGCAGUUUUUCUGGUUGGUCUGUUCGACCUUAGAAUCCUUCAUGAGUUGAGUUAAGACCGGCGAGAGCCAGGUCGGUUCUUAUCUAUCUUUGUUGGAGGUUAGUACGAAAGGAUUAUCUCUAAUUAAUGUUU